rnacentral:antisense_RNA from 1 species
CUUCACCGAGCCGAGCAGCAGCGGCCGACCCUCGGGGCGGUCCUGGCCGUAGGUGGCCAGCAGGGCCUGCGCCUC